rnacentral:rRNA from 1 species
UUGAACUGAAGAGUUUGAUCCUGGCUCAGAUUGAACGCUGGCGGCAUGCCUUACACAUGCAAGUCGAACGGCAGCACGGGUGCUUGCACCUGGUGGCGAGUGGCGAACGGGUGAGUAAUACAUCGGAACAUGUCCUGUAGUGGGGGAUAGCCCGGCGAAAGCCGGAUUAAUACCGCAUACGAUCUGCGGAUGAAAGCGGGGGACCUUCGGGCCUCGCGCUAUAGGGUUGGCCGAUGGCUGAUUAGCUAGUUGGUGGGGUAAAGGCCUACCAAGGCGACGAUCAGUAGCUGGUCUGAGAGGACGACCAGCCACACUGGGACUGAGACACGGCCCAGACUCCUACGGGAGGCAGCAGUGGGGAAUUUUGGACAAUGGGCGAAAGCCUGAUCCAGCAAUGCCGCGUGUGUGAA